GACGAACGCUGGCGGCGUGCUUAACACAUGCAAGUCGAACGGAAAGGCCCUGCUUGCAGGGUACUCGAGUGGCGAACGGGUGAGUAACACAUGGGUGAUCUGCCCUGCACUUCGGGAUAAGCCUUCGCAACUGUGUCUAAUACCGGGUAUGAGCCCUUUUUCGUGUUAUUGUUGGAAAGUUUUUUCGGUGUAGGAUGAGCUCGCGGCCUAUCAGCUUGGUUGUGGGGUAAUGGCCUACCAAGGCGGCCGCGGGUAGCCGGCCUGCGUGGGUGGACGGCCAAAAUGGGAAUGAGGAAAGGCCCAGAAUCCGAAGGGAGGGAGCAGGGGGGAAUAAUGCACAAAGGGGGCGAGGCUGAUGCAGCGAAGCCGCGGGGGGGAAGAAGGCCUUCGGGUUGGAAAAUCCUUUCGGUAGGGACGAAGGUGUUUGUGACGGUAACUAGAUAAGAAGCACCGGCUAACUACGUG
rnacentral:rRNA from 1 species